GCGAUGAUCAGGAGCUUGCUCCUGUGAUUAGUGGCGAACGGGUGAGUAACACGUGAGUAACCUGCCCCUGACUCUGGGAUAAGCGUUGGAAACGACGUCUAAUACUGGAUAUGAUCACUGGCCGCAUGGUCUGGUGGUGGAAAGAUUUUUUGGUUGGGGAUGGACUCGCGGCCUAUCAGCUUGUUGGUGAGGUAAUGGCUCACCAAGGCGACGACGGGUAGCCGGCCUGAGAGGGUGACCGGCCACACUGGGACUGAGACACGGCCCAGACUCCUACGGGAGGCAGCAGUGGGGAAUAUUGCACAAUGGGCGAAAGCCUGAUGCAGCAACGCCGCGUGAGGGAUGACGGCCUUCGGGUUGUAAACCUCUUUUAGUAGGGAAGAAGCGAAAGUGACGGUACCUGCAGAAAAAGCACCGGCUAACUACGUGCCAGCAGCCGCGGUAAUACGUAGGGUGCAAGCGUUGUCCGGAAUUAUUGGGCGUAAAGAGCUCGUAGGCGGUUUGUCGCGUCUGCUGUGAAAUCCCGAGGCUCAACCUCGGGCUUGCAGUGGGUACGGGCAGACUAGAGUGCGGUAGGGGAGAUUGGAAUUCCUGGUGUAGCGGUGGAAUGCGCAGAUAUCAGGAGGAACACCGAUGGCGAAGGCAGAUCUCUGGGCCGUAACUGACGCUGAGGAGCGAAAGCGUGGGGAGCGAACAGGAUUAGAUACCCUGGUAGUCCACGCCGUAAACGUUGGGCGCUAGAUGUAGGGGACCUUUCCACGGUUUCUGUGUCGUAGCUAACGCAUUAAGCGCCCCGCCUGGGGAGUACGGCCGCAAGGCUAAAACUCAAAGGAAUUGACGGGGGCCCGCACAAGCGGCGGAGCAUGCGGAUUAAUUCGAUGCAACGCGAAGAACCUUACCAAGGCUUGACAUACACCGGAAACGGCCAGAGAUGGUCGCCCCCUUGUGGUCGGUGUACAGGUGGUGCAUGGUUGUCGUCAGCUCGUGUCGUGAGAUGUUGGGUUAAGUCCCGCAACGAGCGCAACCCUCGUUCUAUGUUGCCAGCGCGUUAUGGCGGGGACUCAUAGGAGACUGCCGGGGUCAACUCGGAGGAAGGUGGGGAUGACGUCAAAUCAUCAUGCCCCUUAUGUCUUGGGCUUCACGCAUGCUACAAUGGCCGGUACAAAGGGCUGCGAUACCGUAAGGUGGAGCGAAUCCCAAAAAGCCGGUCUCAGUUCGGAUUGAGGUCUGCAACUCGACCUCAUGAAGUCGGAGUCGCUAGUAAUCGCAGAUCAGCAACGCUGCGGUGAAUACGUUCCCGGGCCUUGUACACACCGCCCGUCAAGUCAUGAAAGUCGGUAACACCCGAAGCCGGUGGCCUAACCC
rnacentral:rRNA from 1 species